ACUCAACCUACAGUGUGUAUUUCAGGUUUUUCAAGUGAGACACCUGUGUCCUUCACUAAGCCAUGAAUGGAAGGGGAAGGUGGAGGUAUAACUCAAGUGCUUAUAAAAACACACACAACCAUUCCCUUUAUUCAGCUGUACUAACUUUCUCAGCACAUAGACUGAACAAAUACAAGUGAGACGUUAAGAUCAGCAGCUGUAUCAAAGCACAGAGCUGUCAAGUUCUGGGGGAGGCUAUUUGCCAGAUCAGAGCACAUAAACUUUUAGGAUAGAAACUAGAAUAUGAAUUAAGCUCAUAUCACUCAAAAAAGAGCUGAAUGCAUCUGAAACCAAAGUACACUGUCAGCCUCCUCCACUUGCUCCGGGCGCUGAUGCUUCGAUUAGCUAUGCAAGAAGCUACCUGCUAUUUUAGAAUUAUAUGAAGUCACCUCGGGGUAUCUACAAGCUUCUCACGCACAAGAUACUGACUUUUUUUUUUCCUCCUUAUUCUUGGCUUAGAGCACAGUUGUUGCUCCAUCCCGGUGCAAAAAUGUCUCAUGCUAAUCUCUUUGACCUGAAGUAAAUGCAGGCACCUUCGAAACAGGAGUCUUAGAGUCUACUUCUUACUCAACAGAUCCACAGCAAACGCCACUGACCUCAUCUUAUUCUGCCCUACUCCAAAUCGCCAGGGCUUAAUUAGACAUAUCUGGAACCAAGCCUGGCUUCUCCAAACCCAUCAUGGAUGAACUGGAUGAACUGAGCUGCAGCUAUGCAACGGCUUUUGUCUCUGUGGUUUAUACAAGUAAAGAAGGUGACUAAAAUCCAAGAGUUCUACUCUUGUGACGUGAAGACUAUGGCUUCUACGUGGUUCUGACCUAGGCUGUUUUGACCAUAUAAACUGUAAGAAAAAGAAAAGAAUAUGAAAUAGUUACUGCUACCAGUAUUUCAAAACGAAACCAAAUGCUCUAAAGCAUCACCCUGAAAUCAAAUUUCCAGUUGAUUAAGUGGAAGUUUGGAAGAGGGAGAGACGGAUGCAUUGGGAAGCUGUUGAAUUUCAUGGGAGGAAAGUCGGGGAGCAGGGCAUGCAGAGGAACAAUUCCUCCAGCGUUUAUCUGAGUUCAUGUCUGUCCCUGGGUGGGGAUGAAUGACAUUCUUUGCAUUAUGUUUAUACAAAACUAUAAAGGCUGUUGCUAAUUGUUUUUAUGAUCUUCUCUAUCUGGUUUGUAUUUUAAGCAGAAGAGCAAGAAGAUUUGAUUCACCUGAAAAAAUUAACAGUUUUGUGUGCCUUUUUUUGUUUGUUUGUUUUGUUUUUGCGGUACGCUGGCCUCCCACCGCUGUGGCCUCUCCCGUCGCGGAGCACAGGCUCCGGACGCGCAGGCUCAGCGGCCAUGGCUCACAGGCCCCACGGCGUGUGGAACCUUCCCGGACCGGGGCACGAACCCGUGUCCCCUACAUCGGCAGGCGGACUCUCAACCACUGUGCCACCAAGGAAGCCCUACAGUUUGUGUGUCUUUGCUUCACCCUGGAAUUUUACACUGCAAAAAUCUACUGCUAUUUUUGUCUCCCAGAAUGUGUUCUAACAGUGUACAGAGUUUAUGCCUAAUACCCAAACAAAGAUUAAAUUGUCAUAAACUAUAAAAAUUAAUUUCAGGAGGCUCAGGAAUAUAUUUGAGUAGAAAGAGUCAUAUUAGAUAGGCUUGACUCAUCAAAACAUGUU